rnacentral:rRNA from 1 species
AUAGCGUAUAUUAAAGUUGUUGCAGUUAAAAAGCUCGUAGUUGAACUUCAGACCUGGCUGGGCGGUCAGCUUAACAGCGUGUACUGUCUGGCUGGGCCUUACCUCUUGGUGAGCCGGUGUGCCCUUUAUUGGGUGCGUUGGGGAACCAGGACUUUUACCUUGAGAAAAUUAGAGUGUUCAAAGCAGGCUUAUGCUCGAAUACAUUAGCAUGGAAUAAUAAAAUAGGACGUGCGGUUCUAUUUUGUUGGUUUCUAGAGUCGCCGUAAUGAUUAAUAGGGAUAGUUGGGGGCAUUAGUAUUCAGUUGCUAGAGGUGAAAUUCUUGGAUUUACUGAAGACUAACUAUUG